AUGAGGAGGCAGCGCCGACGGCCACAGCAUCUCUUCAGCGCUGAGACAUGCAGAGGAAAGGCAGAGCCUUCCACCCUGGACACCCCUUCCCGGGCCCUCGGUCCAGCAGUGGGUGACAUCAGUGUCCCCAGGAGUGAUGGAGUGGCUGGGACAGCAGUGCUGAGCUGGGACACCACAGCUCAUCCCCGGAUGGGGAGGAGAGUGGUGCUGGGCAUUAUUUCCUCCAUGGCCCCAGCACUCUCCAGGACAGACAUGACCCCCCUGGGUGACACAGCGGGGCCAGACAGGGGCCCCUUUCGAGGGAGACCAUCUCCAGGGGCACCUCCACCAGAAGCAGGUCCCACAGCUCUUCUUGCUCUCGCAAUACAAGGAGCGACCACGUCACUGGGACACRCUGUAGCACUGGAUCAGUGGCUCGUUUUACUGUCCAUUGGACGUUCGAUGUUGCACGUGGACACGCUGUCAUCUGCACAACGAUGCAGAUGUCCACUCUGGGCGUUACGGGACUGGGACCAGGCUACGCUUUGCAAGGACCAUGCAAGGUCAGCACUGCUCCUGCAGGUUGCAAUGUUACCGUUCCUCCCCGGCCAGAUUCACUGGACGCUGCAUCAGGCAGGGUCUGCACAGCAGGGUGGCCCCAAACGCUGCUGGUGCCGCAGAGGUGAUGAGCCCAGCUCAAGCCUGAGCCGGGAUAAGCAUAAGCCCACGGCCAGCUCCCGGACCCCUGCCAGCGUGGUGGGGCUGGGCGCACAUCUCCACAGCUCCUGGGCAGGGACCCUUCAUCCCCUUGUGACAGUGGGGAUGCACAGCCCCCUUUGUAACAGGCAUAAACUGAAAUAUGGGAAAUUCCAUCUGAACAUAAGAAAACAUUUUUUUACAAUGAGGGUGGUCAAGCACUGGAACAGGUUGCCCAAAGAGGUUGUGGAGUCUCCAUCCUUGGAGAUAUUCAAAACCUUAAUAGACACAGUCCUGGGCAACCUGCUCAAGCUGACCCUGCUUUGA
rnacentral:lncRNA from 1 species